CUACCUUAGCACAACGCUUCGUAUGAUCACGUACCAUGCUACCUUAGCACAAGGCUUCGUGCUAUAAGGUGACAUUCGUCUAAUUACUACAGAUCUUACGCUCGAUCUCUGCUAGGUGCUACACCGAAAUGCGCUUAUACUAUAUAUAAUCGGAUGUACGGACAACGGACGGACUUACGACUGGCGGUAGUUGUGUCGCAGGAGUUGUUGGGCUGACAAUGCCACGUUAUUGCCUCUUCGGAGACACCGUAAACACCGCAUCGCGAAUGGAAUCGAAUUCAUUACCUCUAAAGAUUCACAUCAGCUCAGAGACCAAGGAAAUCCUAGAUACGUUUGGUUGCUUUCAAAUAAGCGAGAGGGGAUUGGUGGAUAUGAAAGGUAAAGGCCAACUCGUCACCUUCUGGCUCUUGGAGGAGGUUUUGCAAUCAGACACGCAAGAGAAUCCAGGCACAGAAAUUUGAGCACGCCAUUCGAUUUUAUCAGAGUAUGGUGGCGGGGAUCGAAAACUCGUUAGUAAACCGCCAGCGUUCAAUCGUUAAGGUAGCUUUGCUUGCUAGUGCGUUUAUCGUUAGACGCCGUAGACUAGCUGUGAUUCGAGAAUUGUCUGUGAACUCCACGUAGUAGAUCUAGAUAUAACCUUGAAGUAAUCAUUCUGUCAGCCAGAAUGAUCAGUCAGAAUAAUUACUCCAAGAUAUAACCCACGUAGACUGUUACGGCGAUCGUUAUCUGCCGUGCUUGAGAGGGAGGAUUACGGGUCUGUUAAUAUAGGGGAGGGUUUGGUAUGUUUGGGGGGAUAGAGUUGACGCGAGCGUCGAUCAUCACCGAUUAUUGCACACGGCAGUGGCAGCAUUUUACAUAUGCAUCUAGAUCAAGAGUAUAUGAUAGAGAUCGCUAUUAUGUACUCUUGAUCUAGAUUGAAUUCCUGCGUGUUAUCUAGUCUGGGUGUCUGCCUAGCUGUAUAGCUGUGUAGCUGUAGCACAUUAAUUGCCACUUAAUUACUUUGUUCUCAUGUGCAUAUAAAUAGAAUAAGCAGUUUAUCUUCGCGGACACUUCUUCUCCUUGUAGACCUGCUAUAACUCAUAUAGUCUCUUUGGACGUUUAUAAGAACCAAGGAUUCGAUUAGCGUGUUUUUAGCGAAUAAGUUGACCGUCAAAAUACGUUCGUGUUGUUACCGGUAGAUGUCGGUAGUGAACACGCACGUGUGAAACCCAUAGAACUUCUAUUUCUAGUUCUAUGGUAAAAAAUUAUUCGUCCGUGCAUGAAUAAUGUGUUUUGUAGGGCUGUCCCGCUUGUUAUAGAUGCCCAACCCGUGUAACUAGUGCAAUGUAAUUUGUAACGUAUGAAAUGUGAAAACCUAUAUAGAUGAUAACGUGAACAAUGGCCUA